CAUCGGACGCUGCUGCGUGGUGGCCUUGGAUUUUGUGCAUGUGCACGUGUGUCUCUUGCUACGUGUCCUUUGUGAACUGAUGUGCAGUGUGGAAGAGUCUUCACUCUGCAGCGAUGAGCUGCUGAUCGAAGAAGUGCGACAAAGGCCGCUACUUUACCACCAGCACCUCGAAACGUAUUGUGAUAACAGGCUCCAGAACGACACCUGGCUUGAUGUAGCGAAUAAAUUGAAACAAUGUGCCCCGCCACUACGUCGGUGUACCCUCAAGUAGACUGCCUUUAUUGGCGCCUCCGUUGUCUUUCCCCUGUCAAACUUGGAGCCGGGAACCCUGAAAAAGGUGCAAUGCAGUUGCCGAACUGCAGCAUAUUUGGAGUUGCCUUGGGUAGAAGUUUCUUCGGCUGGGAAAUGUGUGCCACAAGUCUGACACCGGCGCAGCGGGCGUUGAGAAGUCGUGGGUUCUCAUGCCGCACCUCAUGUUCCUGGCCGAUGCAAUGCAACGACGAACCACCGUCUGCACACUGAUGGGAAAAGAUGGGAGAGGAUUCGAGGUGUCCCAUGCUCAGUCACCUCAGUCUGUCACUGACGCAGCGUCAUCAAUACAAAAUAUGUGUCGCACAUUUUAUGUAAACAAUACCCAGCAGACGUCACUGUCUUACGACUUACUGCACGAAUUCCCCUGUCACAAAGUUUGUCCAAGUGCAGCUGCUUCCUCAGCACCAAGUAUUGAGGCAGAUAGACUGCCUGUCGGAAAAACAUCAAAGUCGGCAACGAGCUUGGAACAAAUUUCUUUGUAUGUCGCAGGUUCACCACAUCGCUCAACUUGCUCUGGAGAAGUUUCUUCGAAAUCAAGAAAUUGUAAGCAAGCUCACAAAAAGUAAAAAGAAUGACCUUGAUGA